UACGAGGGGUGCAAGCGUUGUUCGGAAUUACUGGGCGUAAAGGGAGCGUAGGCGGAGAUUCAAGCGGAUUGUACAAUCCCGGGGCCCAACCCCGGCUCUGCAGUCCGAACUGGAUCUCUUGGAUAGUUCAGGGGCAGGCGGAAUUCCUGGUGUAGCGGUGGAAUGCGUAGAGAUCAGGAAGAACACCGAUGGCGAAGGCAGCCUGCUGGGGACUUAUCGACGCUGAGGCUCGAAAGUGCGGGUAGCAAACAGGAUUAGAUACCCUGGUAGUCCGCACCGUAAACGAUGCAUACUGGGUGUCCGGGGGUUCCCCCGGGUACCGUAGCCAACGCGUUAAGUACGCCGCCUGGGGAGUACGUACGCAAGUAUGAAACUCAAAUGAAUUGGCGGGG
rnacentral:rRNA from 1 species